UAAAGUAAUAUUAUAAUAUGCAUUUAAAUCAGUUAAUAGCGCAUUAGAGUUUUGUAAACAAAAUGACCAAAAAGAUGGCAAAUUUGAAAAACUAUGCAGUGGUUUUUUUUCCCCAUUAUUUGUUGCAAUCAUCUACAGAAGCAACGAAAAGAAUUGGAUUGUUAGAGCAAAAACAACAGACGAGUAUUCCUAUAACGUGCUGCCUAAAAUCACAAUCCAAAUGAAAGAAAAGAUUCAUGAAAAAAAAAAACUCGAUAAGCUCAUGACGCUGUUCUCCACUGCAUCUCAAUUUGAAUCCGGCCAUUCUUGGAGUCUAUAAGAUGGUACUUCUCAUUGAUUCUUUUAUUGCUAACAACAUCCGCAAGACUGAUGUCCACAUAACCCAGAGACUCCUUAGGAUGCAACAAGCCCAUUCUUGAUGAAGUGCUGACAACUUCCACAUGUAGCUUAUCAUUAGUGGGAGGCUCAUCCAACAUAAACUGGAACUCCUCCUCCCAUCUCGGGUCUCGAUUCUUCUUCAAAUGCUUAGUUUUCCUCUCCUCCCCUCUAAAAAGAAGCCGUACAUGUGGAUUAGUAUGAUGCUUUCCUUCAACAUCCUGAGCCUCAUGAACAAUCACUACUAGCAGACCUCCACCAGCAGGGAUUGCAUCUGGAGCCUUCUGCACUGUACUCGACUCUUCAAAACCACUGGGCAAAUCCUCCUCUUUGAAUGGUAUAUAUGUCAAUUCCACCUCUAGCCGCCCACAUGACUUUUCAUUUUGAGGAUCAUUCAAAUCCAUAUUUUUAAGGAGGUCAAGAGUCAUAACUUUUGGAUCCUCUGGUGGAAGUUCUUUUAGAGGAACUACAUUCAUACCCAUCUUAUCAUGUUUGCCAACCUGCUCCCAAUCAUAAACAUGAAACUCUACUGCCUGGGUCUCUGGAUCUUCAACAGCCAAAUCGAAUUCCUCAUUCCAUUCAGGGUUCAAGUUCUUGUGUUUUACAGUUGUCUUCUUUGAUGGAAGGUUAUCCUCAGUCAACUUUAUUUUGACAUAAGGAUCUGAUGCACCCAUCAGAUCUUUUUUCUUCAGCUCCAUUGCCCUCAGAACUUUCACACAAAGAAUUCCCACAGGCUUCUUCAAGGCUUUUGCAGGAUCCAUGAUUGGUACUUCUAGGGUUUUAGGCCAUAGAUACAUGUUGGCAACCUGAUCUUUAAUAAUCUCCUGGACGACCCUGUAGAGGCCAGGUAUUGACAUGAGAUCAGCUCCCACAAGCUUUAGCCCAAAGUCAACAUGUGGCUACAAAAACAAAGACAAGUAAAUCAAAAGGAAAGGGUUUAUAUUAAAAGCAUUAGAUACAUACUCCAAGUUAUUGUAUAAGAACCAAAACCAAACAGUUCUAAGCUAGAAUAUUUAUCAUAAGAUAACAUCCUGCAAAUUCAAUAAAAUAAUUAGGAACCAAAAGAAAAUGAGUAUAAAGUAGCAAUGAUUAUUGACACACUAAUAUAUUAAAUAAGGUAUGUGCAGAAGCAACAGGCCCCAACCCCAAGUUCAAAUAAGUCGGAGACAUAUUUGGCAUGCAAACUUGGCACAACCAGUUUUUGUUAAUGACCUCAUCACCCCUAGUCUAUCAUAAAUAUUUUAAAGCAAGUCCCAAAGCAAACUUCUAAAGGUCUUACACCCAUUAGAGAAACUUAUCAAGAGUACAGUAAUUAUCUAAGAUGAUCACUGGUGCAAAGGAUGAGAGAAUUUCACAUGGGAAUUGGAUUAAUUAGUUUCUGAAGGAUUCAGCAGUACAGACACAGCAGAUAUAAUUUUGUCAGUUCUGAGUACUAGUUUUAUGUGUCUUAAAGAGUUAUUUCUUUUUUUUUUUUAGUCAUAUUAAUAAUCCUAGUCAACAUAGGAGUCAAGUAAAGGAGGAUUCUUUGCUUAGAAUCUCCAAAUGGAACAGGAGUCCAAGUAAAGGUUUAGGAUUAUUUCUGGUCUAUAAAUACCCAUGCUUGUAGAGCGUACUAUUCAAUUUUCAGUCCACAAAAUCCAGCAACUUGUGCCUUUUGUUUCUGAGUUGUGUGAUGUGAUUCUAAACCUAGAAAGUGAUACUUUCUUCAUAGGAGUGAGUCCUAGAUCCUGCUAGUGCUAGGCUAGUAGUUUUGAUUGCUUAAUAGUUGAUAUUGAAACACUGAAUAUUCAUGUGGUAAGAAAUGAUUAAUAUUGCAACACGGCACAAAGCAAACAUAUUCAGGCCUUACUUUCCUUCAAAAAUGCCCAUGCCCAUCAAAAGAAUUUUUCGGCAUACACAUAUGCCGCACAAGUGGCACAUGUUGUGCCUGACAAGGAUAAGUCCAAGUAUCGAUGUUGCAGAAGUUCUAGUAAAUAUUUUUAUUUUGCUAAACUAUCAGGGUAAAAGGACAAACAGAAUCACCAACCUUCUCCAUAAGAGACAUAUAGAUUUUGGCAAAACAAGGAAAACUAGGAACCAAGGGCUUCAAAGUUAUACGUGGUAAAGCAAAAACUUGCAAAUCCACCACCUGAGCAGUUGCUUUCAACCCAAAUGCUUUAACAGCAACAGUGACAUUAGGAUUUCCAGCCCAUUUUAAGCAUGGUUCCAUGAUCAGCUCCUUCUCAUCAGUGACAUAAACUUUCAUUCCUGAUAAGAACAACUUGUGGAAAAGAUGAAUAGAACAUUGAAAUGAAAACAUUGUUUAUAUGUGAUAAAUGACAUAACUGUAUCCAGGGAUGAUAGGCUGGCAAGUGAAUUCUUCUGGAUAAUCACUGCAUUAUCUCCAAGGCUCACUUAACCCUUUACACUAUGCAUGGAAAUAAUGAGGGGAACAGGAGAAGUGAUUUGGGAAUUAAAAAUUAGAUAAGAAGGGGAAGGGAAGUGAAAUUGUAUAUAUUUAGUGUGAGAUGGCCACAGAGGUGAAGAUAAUGGCGCAGACAAAAUAAACCCAUAUCAUUUAAAUUAAUUUCUAAUUGCCUAAUAAAAAAUAAGGGUAAAAAGGCCAAAACAAAUAAAAGUUGUUCCCCUGUCCAAAGGUGAAAUUGUUUAUACCCUAAUUGGGUAAAAUGAAACAAAUUUCAACUAGUAGGAGGGAAAUGAAGAGGAAUGGUUACGCGUCUUUCCUUUUCCUCUCCAAGAAAAAUUUGAAAGCCAAACAAGAUGAUGAGGGAAAUUCCCUCCUUUCUUACUCUUAAACUUCUAGCCAUGCAUAGCAUUAAGUUAUAAAUGAUCAUAACACAUUGCGAUUACAAUGUAACUUCUGAUGUAAAAUGUGAAAGCACAGUUAUGUGCCUUUAAAGUUCACACUACUAACUAUGAAAUGUCUCCCCACAGGGCUUAAGAUGCCAUUUUAAACAACAAUUUUCAUUUCUCUGUACAUUGAUACAAUAAAAGAAACAAAAUUAAAAAGGAUAUGUCAGCUCUACUGACCUGAGAAAGUUGGUGGUAGGGAUCCUAGCGUAAGUGUUUCAAAUUCAACUGAAUCAAUUUUAUAUUUGGGAAUCUGCUUAGCGAUUAUGGGGGCUGCAAUAUUCCUUGCAAUCUUGCAAAUGGCCUUGUCCAGAUAAGGCCACAUAUACCCAAGAAACUUGUUCAGCCAGUCAAUACGAUCAUAAUCUGGAUUUUUCACCCACAGGGGUAUCUCUGGAAGCAUUCGUUGCAAAGUUUCUGAGUCUUGCUCAGCUAUUGGGCGAAUCUCAGGAUCCUCAACGUCGCAGGGAUAGAAAUAUAUGAACAGAUAGUAUCCAAUCACAAGACCUAUGGCAACGCCAGCUCCAAAUCCAAAGAAACCGAAAAUCGUACUGAAAAACCCCAUCUCUCAAUCCUCACUUUUUCCCGGCAACCAAACAAAUCACGAAUUCCCAAAUCCUUUUCCUCUCUUGCUAAAUCAGAGAACGUAGAAGAAAAUUCAUUUCCAAAUCUCCUCGAUUUAUGAGAUGACGCACUAAAACGACUGAGGAGUCCUUCCUCGACCUUUAGUCGUUAUCACGUUGCCCAUAAGACGCAAAGUAGAAGAAUUUAGGAAGACAAAUGGACAAACUGAAAACGAAACGUUCAUACAGUGAGCUUGUGUGCGUAUUUUUACCAUUUAAUCAUCCAAACACGUUAUCCUUCCCGUUUCUCUUUUUCAGGCACACCGGCACUGGGCCCAUUGAUGCUGUGCAGCGAGAAAAC
rnacentral:misc_RNA from 1 species